rnacentral:lncRNA from 1 species
UGAUUCUUUUACGACUUGAUCUUGGGUCUUAGCUGAUUCUGCUUGUAGACUCCGAUCUGAAUCUUGAUGCUUGCGAGUUGCGGCGACUUGUGUAACCUCUGGGAUACUGAGUGAGACGCGAUUGGCAAGGUUCAAGCCCUUAAUUAAACGUUGGAGUCAAUUCGCUCUCCAUUCACUCUGAUAUCUCGGAAUGUCUUCUUUUGUCUUUUCUUCUUUGAUUCUGAGUUGAGACUCAUCUCGUAGGUCAUUUCGAUCCGUGUGGCUCGAGGUUAGACCUACGGGAAAAAACAAACAAACGAACAAAAUUUUCUGCCCUAGUUUCACUAGGAAAAUUUCGUUAAUUAUUCACCAGGAAGUUCAUAAAAUUGAUGAAAGAGGAUAUGCAUGCUCGGUUCAGGGUUGGAGCCCUAACACCGGCUAGCUGGGGAAAGGUUCGGUUUGGAGUUUAAAAUCCUAACGCCGAUCAAAGGAAGAACUCAGUUUAGGGUUUAAAACCCUAAUGCUGAUUUCAUGGAAAAGCUUAGUUUAGAGUUUAAAACUCUAAUGCUGGCUGAAAGGAAAAAGUUCAGUUUAGGGUUUAAAACCCUAAUGCUGAUUUCAUGGGAAAGCUCAGUUUAGAGUUUAAAACUCUAAUGCUGGCUGAAGGGAAAAAGUUCAGUUGAGGGUUUAUAACCCUAAUGCUGACUAAAUGGAAAAUUCUAGUUUAGGGUUUAAAACCCUAAUGCUGAUUGCAUGGAAAAGCUCAGCUCAGAGUUUAAAACUCUAAUGCUGGCUGAAAGGAAAAGGUUCAGUUUAGGGUUUAAAACCCUAAUGCUGACUGCAUGGAAAAGCUCAGUUUAAAGUUUAAAACUCUAAUGCUGGCUGAAAGGAAAAAGUUCAGUUUAGGGUUUAAAAC